rnacentral:sRNA from 1 species
ACAACUAGCAGAUCUGACCUAACUUUUAUCUCUACAGACAUUACCGACUCUUCUAAAAUAACAGUACUUGAAGACAUAGGUAGUGACCACAGGCCUAUACUCCUCAAUAUUGGAACACAAGGUAGAUACCAAUCCAGCAAAACAACUAGAUGGAACUAUAAAAAAGCUAACUGGGCAGCUUUUUCACAAGAAACAGACACAAGACUAUCAAGCAUAAUGGAGACAGACGUCAAUUCAACCUACACAACUAUAGUCUCCAACAUCUUACAAGCAGCAAAA